rnacentral:rRNA from 1 species
CAAGAGCGUAUAUUAAAGUUGCUGCGGUUAAAGAGCUCGUAGUUGGAUUUCAGUCUAGGAAGGUUAACUCGCCGAAAGGUUGUACGUUGAUUUUCCUCAGACUUCGUCAGAAGCUCGUGCUGCACUUAACUGUGUGGUACGAUGUUCUGACCUUUUACCUUGAGGAAAGUAGAGUGUUUCAGGCAGGCUGCCCAGCUUGAAUACAUUAGCAUGGAAUAAUGAAAUGGAUCUCGGUUCGAUUUCGUUGGUUCUAGAGCUGAGGUGAUGAUCAAUAGGAACAGGCGAAGGUAUUCGUACUUGAGAGUGAGGAGUGAAAUCCGAUGAUCUCUUAAAGACGAUCCGAGGCGAAAGCAUUUGUCAAGGAUGUUUUCAUUGA